GCCGGGGUGGCGGAAUGGCAGACGCAAGGGACUUAAAAUCCCUCGGGCCUUAGGCCCGUGCGGGUUCGAGUCCCGCCCUCGGCACCA
rnacentral:tRNA from 1 species